rnacentral:rRNA from 1 species
AUUGAACGCUGGCGGCAUGCCUUACACAUGCAAGUCGAACGGUAACGCGGGGCAACCUGGCGACGAGUGGCGAACGGGUGAGUAAUGAAUCGGAACGUGCCCAGUAGUGGGGGAUAGCACGGCGAAAGCCGGAUUAAUACCGCAUACGACCUACGGGUGAAAGCGGGGGACCGCAAGGCCUCGCGCUAUUGGAGCGGCCGAUGUCAGAUUAGGUUGUUGGUGGGGUAAAGGCCUACCAAGCCGACGAUCUGUAGCUGGUCUGAGAGGACGACCAGCCACACUGGGACUGAGACACGGCCCAGACUCCUACGGGAGGCAGCAGUGGGGAAUUUUGGACAAUGGGCGCAAGCCUGAUCCAGCCAUGCCGCGUGCGGGAAGAAGGCCUUCGGGUUGUAAACCGCUUUUGUCAGGGAAGAAACUCUCUGGGCUAAUACCCCGGGGUAAUGACGGUACCUGAAGAAUAAGCACCGGCUAACUACGUGCAGCCGCCGCCGUAA